rnacentral:rRNA from 1 species
GAUGAACGCUGGCGGCGUGCCUAAUACAUGCAAGUCGAGCGAAUGGAUUAAGAGCUUGCUCUUAUGAAGUUAGCGGCGGACGGGUGAGUAACACGUGGGUAACCUGCCCAUAAGACUGGGAUAACCCCGGGAAACCGGGGCUAAUACCGGAUAACAUUUUGAACCGCAUGGUUCGAAAUUGAAAGGCGGCUUCGGCUGACACUUAUGGAUGGACCCGAGUCGCAUUAGCUAGUUGGUGAGGUAACGGCUCACCAAGGAAACGAUGCGUAGCCGACCUGAGAGGGUGAUCGGCCACACUGGGACUGAGACACGGCCCAGACUCCUACGGGAGGCAGCAGUAGGGAAUCUUCCGCAAUGGACGAAAGUCUGACGGAGCAACGCCGCGUGAGUGAUGAAGGCUUUCGGGUCGUAAAACUCUGUUGUUAGGGAAGAACAAGUGCUAGUUGAAUAAGCUGGCACCUUGACGGUACCUAACCAGAAAGCCACGGCUAACUACGUGCCAGCCGCCGCCGUAA